rnacentral:rRNA from 1 species
AUGAACGCUGGCGGCGUGCCUAAUACAUGCAAGUCGAGCGAACAGACGAGGAGCUUGCUCCUCUGACGUUAGCGGCGGACGGGUGAGUAACACGUGGAUAACCUACCUAUAAGACUGGGAUAACUUCGGGAAACCGGAGCUAAUACCGGAUAAUAUAUUGAACCGCAUGGUUCAAUAGUGAAAGACGGUUUUGCUGUCACUUAUAGAUGGAUCCGCGCCGCAUUAGCUAGUUGGUAAGGUAACGGCUUACCAAGGCAACGAUGCGUAGCCGACCUGAGAGGGUGAUCGGCCACACUGGAAUUGAGACACGGUCCAGACUCCUACGGGAGGCAGCAGUAGGGAAUCUUCCGCAAUGGGCGAAAGCCUGACGGAGCAACGCCGCGUGAGUGAUGAAGGUCUUCGGAUCGUAAAACUCUGUUAUUAGGGAAGAACAAAUGUGUAAGUAACUAUGCACGUCUUGACGGUACCUAAUCAGAAAGCCACGGCUAACUACGUG